AACGAACGCUGGCGGCAUGCCUAACACAUGCAAGUCGAACGAGACCUUCGGGUCUAGUGGCGCACGGGUGCGUAACGCGUGGGAACCUGCCCUUAGGUUCGGAAUAACUCCCCGAAAGGGGUGCUAAUACCGGAUAAUGUCUUCGGACCAAAGAUUUAUCGCCUUUGGAUGGGCCCGCGUUGGAUUAGCUAGUUGGUAGGGUAAAAGCCUACCAAGGCGACGAUCCAUAGCUGGUCUGAGAGGAUGAUCAGCCACACUGGGACUGAGACACGGCCCAGACUCCUACGGGAGGCAGCUGUGGGGAAUAUUGGACAAUGGGCGAAAGCCUGAUCCAGCAAUGCCGCGUGAGUGAUGAAGGCCUUAGGGUUGUAAAGCUCUUUUACCCGGGAUGAUAAUGACAGUACCGGGAGAAUAAGCGCCGGCUAACUCCGUG
rnacentral:rRNA from 1 species